rnacentral:rRNA from 1 species
UACGAAGGGGGCUAGCGUUGUUCGGAAUUACUGGGCGUAAAGGGCGCGUAGGCGGUCCUUCAAGUCAGGCGUGAAAGCCCCGGGCUCAACCUGGGAACCGCGCUUGAGACUGGCGGGCUAGAGCUCGGGAGAGGAUGGUGGAAUUCCCAGUGUAGAGGUGAAAUUCGUAGAUAUUGGGAAGAACACCGGUGGCGAAGGCGGCUCUCUGGACCGACACUGACGCUGAGGCGCGAAAGCGUGGGGAGCAAACAGG